CCCCCCCACUCUUCCCGCCGCCGCCUCCCUCAGCGCGGCGGGAUGGGAGGGUGGCUGUUGCGCCGGGGUCCGAGCUGCCGCCCGCCCCGGGUAGCGCCGUGAGGGGCCGCGCUGUAGCCGGGCCCUGCCGUUACCUGGGAGAGCCGGGGAAAGAAUCUCAGAGUCUGAACCUUGAGAAACUGUGAUGGAAUGGCAACACAGGAGGAUUUAGUCAACAUCUUUCACACAAGCUAUUUUUAACCUGGAUGUGUUCUGCGAUUUGUUUCCCUCACGGCAUAGACACUGGCACAGCUGAGGGCUUCAUCUGGGUCUGCAUUUCCCUUCAUCCAUUUUUGCUGCUUUUGUGGCCAAAUUGCCUUAGGUCGCCCACAAGCUAUUUUCCACCAGCAACCCCUGGGGAAGAAGUGCCACUGCAGACAAAAAGGGUUUUCUCCAGAUAUUAACAUCCCUCAAAAUUUCAUUGAUUAGGUGAAGGAAACGUUAAACUUAUGGCAUAGUCCUUAACAGCCAAGACCGUUUAAGCUGGAGGGUGUUAUAUGACAUCCAGUUCCUUCAUGCUGGUUUGGAAAUUGCAGCCUCACCACAACCUUUUCAAGCCUACUUCCUACCCUCCUUCCUGCCACAGCAUCAGUGAAGCUGGGGCGAUCCAGCUGCUCCAGGCUUUGCUGGGAGAAGCCUUUUAGCAUCUCUACCUGAGGAGGUUUGAGGGACAUCCCAUACGUUGAUAUCCGGGAUGCUGGGAGCCUGAUAGGCACUGCCUGCAAGCUCCAGGUGGAGUAACCAAGCCUGAAAGGGCUUUGGAGAGGGAUGGGGUUUUCCAGGGCCUCAUCCAGCCAACUUUGGGAACUCCCUGAAGACGGCAGAUCCAUGACCUGGGCAGAGGUGUCUGUGUUUGCCCUCAUCCCACUCCUCUGCCCACCUCAGCCUGCUGGGCUUCUUCAAUCCAAAGAGACUUUUCCAUUUGACCCCAUUGGCCGUGGGACUGGCCAGAAAAAAGGAUGCCAAGAAGAUCCAUGUGUGCCCUCCAGCUGGGGUUAUCUGAACCCAUGCUAGCGAGACGUGAAGUGUUGGAACAUCUCAGGAACCACUGCAGAGCAUGCACAGGUACCAUUAGCAUUCUGAUACAGCUAACGAGGGGAUGCUUGUAUGAAUAAAAUACAUUUAAAUGACUUACAAAAUGGCAAGAUUUCUGAUGUAUGCUGUCUAAUUUAGAACUGAAUCACAUUCCUGCUGCAGCACAUUAAAGGAAGGAUCAGUGUACCACAGCUCACAGCUGGGCAGCAUGUCAGCUAAACCCGCUUCUCCCUCUCAAUUAACUGUCUUCGGUUUGUUUCUCCUAAAUAUGCAGCUGAAAUUCAUCUGAAAGGCAUCAGCCAAGUUCAGAGCAGGAAGGCAUCAUUAGUGUUCCCUGUAAGGUGAAAUUCCAUAUCUGAGUGGAGGACCCCCCCAGCAAACCCCAGUUCCCUCCCUGUUGUGGGGACAAGCGCCCCUGGGACUGACAGCCGAGGAGCACAAGGGCCUUGAGCCACCCUGGCACAACCACAAGGACCAGCCAGAAAAUCCCUCCUGGGAGGUGAGGACAAGCCCCAGGGUGCCACCAGCAUCCCCUGCACCAGCAGAGAGGGUCCCUCCGUCACACAGACCUGCAGCAUCCUUUGCGAAAGCAGCGGUUCCCUUUUGCUCACACCUGUGCUGCUAAUUUAAUAACAGGAUGGGCUCCGGGGUAUUUCUGCUGAUCCUCCUCCAUGUCUCGGCAAUGGGAUCUGCCUCACUGAACACCCAGGAAACUCCCCCCUCCUUUGUUUUACUCCAUUUAAUCCUUUGGUGCAAUGCUAAAUAAAAUCUAAUUAUUACCACCUCCCCCCCAGCAGCACUGGUUAUGUUUGCUGCUGGUGCAGCCUCCAAGUAAUUUAAAUGAGUUACUGAACCAUAAGGAGAAACUAUUAAACAUCCUCUUCCCCUGGACAUCAAGAUGCACCAGGCCAUUAAUAUUUCUUUAUCACCGCAAACUUUGAAGCUUGAAAUCCACGCCUGGGUUUGUCAAAUGGGAUAAUUAUUAAAUGUUUUGAAUUACCCAGCUAAUUAGCACUAAACCCUGUGUUCACCACCUGCAUUGUGGUGAACGCGGCAUUGCGCGGUGCUUCUCACUCUGAUUUCUUUGGAAGCUUGGGCCCGAAAUUUGGCGCAGCCCUCGCAGCAGGGAGGUAUGCCAUCUUCCGGGGUGACAUCACCCAUUUUUGUCCUGGCUUUAAAACGCAGCCAAUAUCCCUUCCUGAUUUCCCAGGCAAUCAGAACUCAGAAAAUCAGUGUUGCUCUUGGGAACAGCAGCAUCGGGAGGUGUGAACACGGUUGUCCUGCUGAUGGUGUUGGGGGGUCCUUUGGGAACAAGCCCCAGUGUGGCACCCCCUCUAUUUUGAUGAACGCCCAGUCUUUCCUUCAGGAGCACCUACAAGCACUCAGCAGUGUGGUGCCACACUGGGAACAUGAUGGGUGCAUCUUACCCCCAGGCACUUGGGUGUUGGAAGCUAUUCUGGGGGCUUUGAUGCUUUUGUCCCCAUUCCCCUGGGGAAGACAGGGACAGCAGGAGAGAAGGUUGGGUACCAGUGGCACUGGGGCAUCCCUUGGGGUACUAGUGGCUCUAGGGCAUCCCUUGGGGUACCAGCAGCACCAGGGCAUCCCUUGUUGCGCCCUGUGCUCCCCAUUCCUGUGCUCCCCACUCACUCCCAUUUUUGGAGGUGGCAUCUCAAAAGCGAAGCCCUGUGCCCCUCAGAGAAGACACUCCGGGAAACACCAGCCUGUUCCCAGCUCCACUGCAGAGCAAUUCCAAUGCACCAUAAAAUGAUCUUGCUGCCCGACACGGAGCAGGUCAGGAGCAGCCCCGAGAGGUGCAGGGCUCUGCAUCCCAUUAGGGCUGCCCGGAGGAAGCCGGACAGAGCUUUUAUUAAAUCAGGCUCAGAGUCAAUGCUUAAAGAAGGGCUUUUUGAACUAGGAGCUGAACCUCAUGUUUGGUGCCCUGCCAAGCUCAGGAUAGUGCGAGGAGGAAAAGGAGAUGUAUUUUUGGACUGCAUGUCUGCGAACAGGCUGUUAGAUAAAAUUAAAGAGGCUGUUUAUAAAGAAUCCUCUGGUGGUGAAGCAGAUGUGGGGGCCCGAGUUUACGACAAGAUAUAUUUCUGGUGUUCGCAUGAACAAUCAUUUUCAUUUGGGACUUUCCUCAUGCUGCAAUAAUUUGUUGGUUUGGGAUUGUUGGGGGUUUUAUUACGAUUAUUAUAUUAUUUUAACCGAAACUGGCACUUUACCCUCAUCACUUGUGAUGAACUUGUUUGUUUACUUAUGCAGUGGUAACUGGAGAGCUGGGCUCGGGCUCUGCUUCCUCGGAUGCUGGUUGUUUCCUACCAGAGCACUCGGGGCCAUUUGACCCAGGUAGUGAAGCAGAAAACCAGUGUUUAUUAUUUCUUGCCAUGUUGCUGGUGGAUGUUGAACACUUCAGCUUCUUCAGGCCACUGAGCAGGUGCCCAUAGGACAUCCUCUUCCCCAAGCCCCAUGGCACAAGGGCCCCCAGCCCAGCUUGUGCCUGGCCUAACACAAAGGCAAAGUAACAUUGCAGGAGCCUAUGGAGUUACUUUAUAGAAUCACAGAUCGUUUGGGUUGGAAGGGACCUUUUAAAGAUCAUCUAGUCCAACCUCCUGCAAUGAGCAGGGACAUCUUCAACUGAGCCGGGUUGCUCAGAGCCCUGGGAAACCUGACCUUGAAUGUUUCCAGGGAUGAGGCACCACAACCUCUCUGGGCAGAGCCCCAGAGCAAACUUCACUUUGCUCUGGUACGAAACAGGAGCUGAGUUUUCUUCUGAACCGAUGUCAUUCUUCACUGAGCUAUGUUUAACAUCCAAGAAAAUACUUUGGUUUAUGCUUAAGGUUAUAUAAAUACAUGGAACGUGUUUAAUAGCUACUCCUGCAGCUCUACAUAUGUUUUAAAAUACGCUGCUUUCCUGAGUGUUGCAGGCAGCAAAGGCAUUGCUGUGCUUUUGCAAGACAAACCAAGAGCGCAAGUGCACGUUUCUAAGUGGAGACACAUUAUCAUUAAUUAUACAUGGCUUGGGUUUGUGCUGACUUGCCAUCCUCCUUGGAUCCUGCACCAAGCCCUGGCUUUCUUAUGGCAGAUAAUAACUUAUAAGAAAGAAGCCCAACACAGUUGCCAUGAUCUAUAUCUACCGCAGGGCAUCGCAUAUGGAAGACAUAAUCUUUGAUGGUAAAUUUUUGCUUUGACAUUAUAGCAGAAGUUAAGUGAAAAGGUGUCAUCCUUGGCCUAGAGUUUCACGAGUGCCACAGGCAGAACAUGCUUCUCUGGGCUCUUUUAAACCUUCUCCUCCUCUUCCAAAAGGAGAAACUCACAAUCUGGACUCAAUUGAACCUUAAAGCCAUAAAAUUCCAGGUUCUAAUAAAUCUUCAUUUUAUAAAAACACAUCCAGCAUAUAUCAAAACAGAGACUGUAAAAGAAAUUAAACAUGUGUGGGUCACCUACUCUGCUGGAUGCUCCUUAACAGGAUUGCAAAAUGGGUGGAAUAACGAGGUGCAAUUUUGCUGUGAAGUUUUGGUACCUCCCUGUAGCACCAUUGGCCUGCCCAGGGAGCAAAACACACAGGGAAUGGGCUGGUGGCUCCGCUUCCACAUCCCCUCCAUCCUUCCCGGUAUGGGCAAGCUGGGUUCCAGCCAGCAUCCCCAUGGGCCCAGCGCUUGCUUGGCUUCGGAUGCUGGAGUGAUGGGAUGCACCCGCCACAGGAUGCGGCCCACAGACAUCCCACAGCCCUUCCCUUCAGGAGGGGCCUGGCAAAGCAAGGACUUUUCCCCAGUGAGUGCUGAGGCCACGGUGAGCAAAAGCGCUGUAAAUCAAAGGGAGAGCAAAGUAAAGCGGCGUUUGGGGGGAGGAUUGCCCAUUCCCAUAAAGUCGAAAUGCGAAGCAAAAAUGAAAGCAGCUGGGAUCGUGCUGCAGAGGAACGGCCCUUUACAAGCGCUCUAAAAGAACUCUGCCUGUGAUGUAAUCUGGACAUUUCCUGGCUCACUGGCGAUUUCCUUGGAUCAAACACCCGGAAUGCCGGGGAGCCGUCACCACUGCGCAGCUCCUAUUAUUCACAUGGUCCCAGGGGAGAAGCAGGGUGCCGGGCAGCUGGGAUGUGGGCAGCAACUCGCACCCCUCUGCCUGCGCUCCUCCUCGCCCCAACGGGGUGAGACACUGAGCAUGGACCUUCCCUUGAAUUACCCUUAGUUUGAGGGGUGAGGUCUAAGGCUCCUGGCCGGGGUCCUGCAUCCCGCAGCCUUGGCAGGGAGGCUAAAGUGUGUGAGGACCCUGGCAGGGACAGACCCGCAGACUUUAUAACAAGAUAUAAUCUAUUUUUUUUAAUCUAUUGUAUUAUGGAGAUUUUAUUAACUUCUAGUGCCUUGCUGGAGCAGUCAUGACUGAGUCCAAAAAGCAGGCAAAGCCCUACAGACCUCAGGAAUCUUCUUCUCAUGAAGAUUAGUUGAGUUUCUGCUAGCAGUGCGCUGAAACUAGAAGUCUAGGAGUAAAGAGGGGAAAAAAACCCAGCACACUUUCUUUGUUAGAAUUCUACAGAAGUAUUUCUGAUCAUAUUCAGAACUUGUUUAACAUCUCCCAUUCCCAUGAAUUUAAGCUGCCCCUGGCAAAAUGCCUGUGAAAGCACUGGGAUGUCCGUAUGGGAAGUCGAAACCAUGGGACCCAGCAGCACUUCCCUGCAGUAGGAUGCAACAAGUCUGCCAUGGAAUCGUAACACUGGGCUGAGCAGCAGGGAGGCAGGCGGCACAUCCUGGGUUUCCAAAAGGAGCCCCAUAGCUGCCAAGAGCACCCAUCCAUACCUGCCACCCAUGGGGGCAUGAGGAUGAUGGAGCCGUGGGGACAAUGGUGUUGUAGGGAUGGCAGGGACAUGGAGGGCAGAGGCCCAGGGACUGGUUUGUUUUGCAUUUCCCUCAGCACUCAGCACCAUGACCACCCAUGGAAAGAUACACGGUGUAAAUCUUCCUGAAGGAGUGGAGGUUUUUGAUUUUUAUAGGGAUGAACUAUUCCGACAACCUCAGUAUUUCACUGCCUUGAGGAACUGCAGCUUUUGGGAAGAGCAUCCUUCGAACUGCAUUGACAGCAGCAGCAGGGCUGAGAGGGGACCCAGCAGGGCACAGCAGCAACCCCCAUUCUGACUUGACAUCAUCCAACCUCUGCUGCAGCAGGUGGAAGGAGAAAAAAACCCAGACCCUUCCCAAAGUUCAUUAUCUGGAUCUCCAAAGACUGUCUGAAUUUGGGUUGCUCAGGAGCGCUCUAUGACCAAUUGCCCGAAAAUAAGUAAAAUCAAAGGCAAGCAACAAAGGACCCAUCUGGGAAGCACUCGUACCAUGACCAGAGACCCCAGGUGGCUCUUCCUCACCUCUUCCUCCUCACCAGAGAAUCACUGGUAUAUCAAGCAUCUGGAGACGAGUUACCUGGAGCACCAGGGGCUCGGGGUGGUGGGAUCCACAGGGGUCUCCCAGCCAGGGGUACCCGCCUUUGCUGUGUUUAAACAGUACCUCUCAAAAGGUAUGUACAAAGGGCAUUUAAAAGGGUAUCACUGACUAAUUUAAUGCAGCACCAGCGUGGCUUUAGAAGUAGUAUUGAAAAUAUAUAUUCUUAUAUUAAAAAGAAUAUAUAUUUUGCUAUGGUUUCUAUGCAAGCAGUGUAAAUAAUCAAUGGAGGCUAUUGCAACCCAUCCAGCCCUGCAAGGCAGAAAGAGAAAGCGAAAGGAAUCCAGCCCUGCGAGCUGUGAAAUCCUCGGGCAGGGGGAAGGCCAGGCAAAGAGGAGCCUUAGCAGGGCUGCUGCCUGCCCACUGCCCGCUGCCUGCUCUGCAGUCCUGGCUGGGCAAAGGCUUGGUAGCAGGGUUAUGGCAAAGAUGAGUUCAGCAGCACCAGAGCUUUGGCGAUCUAGACUUUUAUUCACAUAAUACUCCAAGUCUUCUGUUAACACACAUCGGUUGGGUUUUAGCUUAAUUGUACCACAUGCUCCAGCUUUUUAUAUUCACUUACAGGCAUAUCAUGGUAUUUUCAGGCUUAGGUCACUUCAGUUUUAUUAUUGCAGGUGGCCCAAAUAAAUUUUCAUUAACUUCUUCAUGUACGUUUUCUAAAGAGAACUGUAAAAGGAACAGUUCUGAGUUUUGCUUGAAUUUUUGAGUAAGGGCUGGGAGUAGUGUCCCUGUCAGUUUUACAGCUGUGUUCUCUACUUCACCUCAGCCCUCAUAUUAAAUGCCAGAAAUGCAUUAAAGGCCAGAAAAAUCAGCAGCAGUUACUGACAGGCGGAGAUAUCCAGAUAACACAAACCAACUUUUUAUUAGAGACAUCUCAGGCAGUUUAAACUGUGUUACCCAUCCUUGCUUUCACGUUUCUUCCCUACGUUUUGCUUCACUGAAAACCUCCACUGAGCUGCAUGGGGAUAAUCUGCCUCACGCAAACAGCCUGCUUGAAGCCCAAGGUUAAUUCAUUACUAAUUAACUUGAGGUGCUCAACACCUUUGCACAGGCUGGUCUGAAUGUUCUACAUCUACAGCUGGAAAUGAAAUACAGGUAUGUGUCUGAUUAAGAAAACAAAAAUAAAUAAGGAAUGUGAUCAGUAAUUGGUGCUGGGAUACCAACCCAAACGCAAGAGAAAAGGGGAGCGAGGCUAACGCCCACCAGCCCUUGCAGGAGCAAAGCUACACACCACGCAGGACAGGAGUUUCUGUUUGAAGCAUUUUUAAAAGUCUUCUGUAGGAUGAUGGAGUUAUCCCAAACUUUUAUUGUUUUAAAAUUAACACAGAAAAAGAGGAAAAAGGGAGUUUCCUCUGCAAAAGUCACAGACUGAUGAUUAAGCAUCUCAAUAUCACCUUGAGCUCAAGUUUUGAGAGUGCUGAACAGACAAAAAUCCAUAUAAAAUCCACAUUUUGCAUGUUUGCCUUCGAAAGCCCUUGUGAAGCUCCUCUGCCUUUUGCCUGUCGUCGUCAGGCCCGGGAGGCCUCGCUGCUGUGGGGUUCUGCAGGCCGUGGGUACGAGCCAUUGCUCAGAGUGCUGCUCUGGGACUUGCAGUCCCCGUGUUUAUAUUUCAGCGCUACGCGUGAUUAAUCCUCCAUUUCAUUCAUUGUCUUUCUACUUCUCUGCUACUGGGAACAGUAAAUAAGGGGGAAGUUGUAACAAGAGCCUCCCUCUUAUUCAGAGACCUUCUGUUUCCUGCAGGCUGGCGGCUUUGAAAAAAAAUCACAGCUCCAUUGUGCUCCUAAGUCAUGUUAAAUGAUUCAGAUGGAAAGAAAAACCCACGUCAGUAGGAACAAGGGACAAAGCAAAGAGGAGCGUCAAGGCCGGCGGACCAGGGACACCAAACCCAGGCAGCAGCACAUCCUGAGGAUGCUGCACCAUGUGGCAGCACCAGUGUGGUUCUUCUGCCCUAUUAUGUGGGCGUGUGGAAAGUGGGAGCUGCUCCCAGCAUUCAGGAUGCUUUGGUGGGUGUCCCUGAACACCUCUGGCACCACAGGAAUGGCAUUGGCUGCCUGGGGGUGGUGGGACCGCAGGACAGCCCUCCUGUCCAACCUGGGAACAGGGAUCCAGCCCACAGCAGCCAGGGGGGAGGCAGACUCGCUCCUACCCCCCGAGCAGGGCUGGUAGUGGUGGCUGCUGGGCAGAGGCAGGGAGGCAGAGCCCGGGUGCUCCUGCGCAGAGGCAGAGGACACAGCACUCGAGAUGGCGCUGCUGCCACUGAACAUCUGGUACAAAGGCUCCCCCAAAAUAGAUCAUUUCCUUCUUCCACCUCAAAGGAAACAGAGCUGGAAGGAGGCUCAGUCAGAGCCAGGCUGGUGCAAGGAGGGGUCGCUAUCGCAGGCAGCCUCCCGCUGGGAGCCAGGUACACAUCCCAGAGUGUGACUCGGACAAGCCAUCAGCACCAGGCAGGGCCCAAGAGGUCCAGCCUGUGAAACACCCAAACGCCAACGUAGGUGCUGUGCCCCCACCAGCAGAAACCCACCAGCACUUUGCCAUCAAGCCCAAACCCUUCCAUCCCCAAAACUGAUGCUGAAGCUGCUCCUGUGCUGAGGGACUCAAGCUGUGCUCAAUCCUCACCUGUGUUUUCCAGCACUGGAUUUACAAUGCAGCACUUGUUCACGGCAUCUUCCUUGUUGGAAGGCAUCAGUAGAUAUGUGUGUCAACAAAACUAAAACGAGUGUAAGUGCCAAUACAGACAAGUCUGAUAAUGAAACAUGAGUCACUGGUAAUUCAAUCAUUUGCUAAUGCAGGUUUUGAAGGAAGUUCUCUCCUCCAGGAAUCGGCACCACACAAACUUGAGUUUGGGGUUUCUUAAGAAGAGCACUGUGAUUCUGCUUUUUACUGAGUAGCUGAGUUUUCCCAGGGCUGGUGCCUGUGAUCCCUUUCUGCAGCCCCGCUCCCUUCACACCUCCAUUCCAAACCCCAGGCAUGAGCCCCUCAGCCCGGAGUAACCCACCACUCGCACUCUGCCUGGCACGGCUGUGAGCAGGAGCCUGCCGGACCUUCAGCACCAUCCUUCCUCCCAGCAGUUUUCAUUCCCAGCAUCUUCCCAGCCUCAGGAGCAAGCUGGCAGCAGGGAGGGGGCUGCUGAGGCCCCCCAGCUGCCAUCAGUACCCCAACACUGCUACAAGCCUGCACCAUCCGGAGUGCCACCGACUGCCUUUAGUUUAGAGGACGGGCAUUUUCCCCUUGGGCUGGGCUAAGAAAGAGCAUGGUCAACCCCAGCACUUCAGCAAGGGCAGCUUUUUCCCAUAAAGUUAUUACUUGCGUUCUUUCUUAGUUUUGGUUUGGGAAGGACCAGGAGGUGUCAGGGAUGUCGCACCUCAGCUGGAAUUUCUUUCCAGAUAUUUCUUUGACUAUGGUUACUCUUACACUGGAUAACAAUUGCACUCGCAAAAUGUUGCAGCACGUCCUCAGUUUCCCCUCGAUAAGCCUUAUUUUUUGAGCAGCAUCUCGCAAUAAGCAUUUAAAGGGUGACCUCUUGCUGCUGUAAGGUGUGCGGGGAGCUGGGGCCUUGCCAGACAUUCAAGCUGUAGCAUUUGGCCUUUCCUGUUUUGAUUGAAGAACUUUGAGGAGGUCAGAAAUGUGUGAUUUGAGCUUUUGCCGCUUUAAUAAAUGAAAGGCUGCUGGAAGCAUUAGGAUGAGCUUCCUUUGUGCCAAAUAUCCAUCAUUUAAUUCAAACAUGUUUUAGUAAUAUAAGCAAGAUUUCAAAAGGAAUAGCUGAACAUCCCACUUGCCCAUCUUGCUCCUCCACCUUCUCACUGCUUAGCUUGAUCUUGAGCACUGCUGCUGCAGGGAGGGCUUGAGCUUCUGACGUGGCGAACAGGUAGACUAAGCUACUUCAUAGCUUUGGUCUUUUUAUUCCAUCACAAAGUGGCAAAAGGGAAGGCUUGUCUCUCUUGUGGGUCACCUCUAAUAGCGAUUGCUUCAGCAAGAUGGAUUUCAAAAUUAGGUGCUCUUGAAGCAGAAGCCGCGCUGUGUUUUUCAACAGCACAAAGCGGCCCUAGGAGCAAUCUGACCUUCAUUCUUAAUAUUAGUAUUAAGAAUGAAGGUCAUUCAUUCUUAAUAUUCAUUGGGGGGGAGGGGGAAUCCAUCUUUGUGUUUCUGCUUGAAGCACUGUCAAAAGAAAAGCCAAGGCAUGACACACAGAGAAAUGUAAGACAUCUUCUACAAAACGUUACAAACCUCUCAGAGAUUUACUUUUCUUGGUUUUUUUACUCAAACACUGGAAGAAAGUCUGAUAGCUUGUCCACAAGUACGUUACUUUGGAGUAAAGGCUGGUGUGAAUUUAAAGUGAACCUAUUCUAGACUAAUCUGAAACCACCUCAGAGUGGUUUACAAUGUAGGGUGCAAUCCAGUAGCAAAGGCUGGGGAGAACUUAUCAAUAAAGACUCACAUUCAGGCACUGCAUUAGAUUGGCACCUUUGUAAAACAUCCCUCGAGGUAUUCCAGGGGCUAAAACACUGUCUAUUGCAGCCUUCCAAAGGAAAAUGCCACACACUGUUAUUUUCUUCUACAGCAGCCCGCAAAAGGUGUGAUCUGUAGUCUCUAGUCAAGUCUGGGUGAUGGUAAGCUGAAGAGCGCAAGGAAGGAACAUUGUUUGAAGACACUUGGCAUUUUACUGCUAUUAACAAAACAAUCGGCACAUUUGUGCCCCAAAAGCCUGUAGCUGGUCAGCUGCUACAGGCAGAGCCUGGAAAUGCUUAAUUGUCUCUUGUAUUAAUUAUCUUUGUAUCUUGCCAUGUUGCUGAUACACUCAGUAUCCAGUAAUGUAUUCUAACCCAACGCUAUCCACCCGCUUUAUUCCUUUCAUCUUCUGUCAGGCAUAGCUGGGAAGGCAGAAUGGGAAUGUUUAUUCUAACUAGCAGGUUUAACCCUUAGGCUACCAAGAAUGGGGAGAGGCUUUUUUCAAGCUCGGCUUAUCACCCAUCUAGAGAACCUGAAGGUGUGGCUGCAGUCCGCACAGCUCCUCUUCUGGUGGAGUUCCUCAAACCCAUCUCCCCCCUUUCCAGCACGCCUAAACUCAGAUAUUACUCAGCCUUUUCUCCUUCACAAUGGGCUUGAUACACAGAUAAAAGGAGCUGUAAAGGGG